rnacentral:tRNA from 1 species
GGGAUUGUAGCUCAGUGGUAGAGCGCUCGCCUAGCACAUGUGAGGCCCUGGGUUUGAUCCUCAGCACCA